rnacentral:rRNA from 1 species
AGUGAACGCUGGCGGUAGGCCUAACACAUGCAAGUCGAACGGCAGCACAGUAAGAGCUUGCUCUUACGGGUGGCGAGUGGCGGACGGGUGAGGAAUACAUCGGAAUCUACUUUUUCGUGGGGGAUAACGUAGGGAAACUUAAGCUAAUACCGCAUACGACCUACGGGUGAAAGCAGGGGAUCUUCGGACCUUGCGCGAUUGAAUGAGCCGAUGUCGGAUUAGCUAGUUGGCGGGGUAAAGGCCCACCAAGGCGACGAUCCGUAGCUGGUCUGAGAGGAUGAUCAGCCACACUGGAACUGAGACACGGUCCAGACUCCUACGGGAGGCAGCAGUGGGGAAUAUUGGACAAUGGGCGCAAGCCUGAUCCAGCCAUACCGCGUGGGUGAAGAAGGCCUUCGGGUUGUAAAGCCCUUUUGUUGGGAAAGAAAAGCAGCAGGUUAAUACCCCGCUGUUCUGACGGUGCCCAAAGAAUAAGCACCGGCUAACUUCGUG